UUCUCGCAAUUCCUAUUUGUCUCUCUCAACCCAGGCAGGAAAUUCGACGAAGACCUUUCCUGCGAGCCCCUCCGUUGCUUGGGAUGAAUCGAUCGGGAACCUCUUGCAGCCACUCAAUAGAACCGUAUCCACCACGUGGUCCGAUCACAUCCUCAUCUUUUCUGCCCGCCAUUGAUUCUGGCACGCUUCAUGUUCCCCUCUGUGAAUCUCUUCUCUUGUUAACCCCUCAAUCAUGGCUUCAUGAUUAGGUGUGUGGCGCUGUAAUUUUAGAAACGGCGUUGGUGGAGCAACGAUUCUCUCAAUUGUCGCCGUCUGUGUGAUUUUCGGUUGUGAAUUCGGAAAGGUAGAAGUCUUUGAGCCGCCGUGGUUCAGUCGGAGCGAGACCUUUUGUUGGGAGGUUGUCAGGCGCUUAGGUGCAGCUCAAUCGCUAACUGAAACGAGACUUGUGAGGAGCUCGAAGGCCGCUGAUUGGCAGCCCCGGCGAGUAUAAUUGUGGAACCUGUGGCGUGGAGUGUAGUAGUCGUCUGUCUGCGACCAAUAGCAUCUUGGCUUUGCCGACCCUGCCCCCCAAUUGUACCGCUUCUCUGUAAAGAGGAAAGGGUUCUACCUAUCAUCUGCAUCACACUGAAUCUGUGUCGAGAUGGCCGCCGUUGCGGGGAACCUUGGUGCUGUUGCUGGAGCGAGUCUGAAUAGCAAUGUUCUGGUAAAGCUCGAUGGUGGAAGUGUCAGUUCAAGUGCAUUUUUGGGUCGCAAGUUGGCGACCGGGGGAUCUAUUAAAGCCAAUGUGAAGCACCAGGGGGUGGUGGGGAAGAGGCGGGGUGUGGUGGCUUAUGUUGCUCCGAGCACCACAGAGAAGUCCGUGAAUGAGCCCAAGAAGGCUGCUGGCGGGAUUGCGGAGGGCCAGAAGGGUGGGCAAUGUUUCGGCGUGUUUUGCGUCACGUAUGAUCUGAAGGAGGGCGAAAGACCCAAAACGUGGAGGAAAACGGUGCGCAUUGCGGUGUCUGGGGCCGCUGGUAUGAUUGCUAAUCACUUGUUGUUCAAGCUUGCGUCUGGAGAGGUCUUCGGCCAGGAUCAGCCCAUUGCACUGAAUUUGUUGGGUUCUGAGAGGUCGCGGGAUGCUCUGGAGGGAGUGGCUAUGGAGUUGGAGGAUUCGCUGUUCCCCUUAUUGCGAGAAGUGAACAUUGGUAUUGAGCCAGAGGAGGUUUUUGCUGAUGCGGAUUGGGCUCUUCUUAUCGGUGCCAAGCCCCGAGGUCCUGGAAUGGAGAGGGCGGACUUGCUCGACCUCAAUGGACAAAUUUUUGCCAACCAGGGCAAAGCUUUGAACAAAGUGGCGAGCCCUGAUGUGAAAGUUCUCGUGGUGGGCAACCCAUGCAACACGAAUGCUCUGAUCGCUUUGAAGAAUGCGCCUCGUCUCAACCCUCGGAAUUUCCAUGCCCUCACCAGGUUGGAUGAGAAUCGAGCCAAAUGCCAGUUGGCCCUCAAGGCUGGUGUAUUUUACGAUAACGUAUCGAACAUGACGAUCUGGGGAAACCACUCCACCACACAAGUCCCAGAUUUCUUGAACGCCAAAAUCCAUGGCGCAAGAGUGGUGGAUGUCAUUCAGGAUGAGAAGUGGCUGAAGGAAGAGUUUACUCCCAGAGUGCAGAAACGAGGAGGUGCCCUUAUCCAGAAGUGGGGUCGAUCAUCUGCCGCUUCUACAGCGGUAUCGAUUGCUGAUGCCAUCAAGUCUUUGAUUACCCCCACUCCAGAAGGUGACUGGUUUUCAUCAGGAGUAUACACGAACGGAAACCCCUACGGAAUUGCUGAAGAUAUUAUCUACAGCAUGCCCUGUCGAUCUGCUGGAGAUGGGUCCUGGGAGUUGGUUACCGAUUGUGAAAUUAACGACUACCUACGUGAGCGCAUGAAGAAGAGCGAAGACGAGUUACUCGCAGAGAAGAAGUGUGUUGCCCAUCUAAUUGGCCAGGAGAAUGGCUAUUGUGACCUUCCCGAAGGCGAUACAAUGUUGCCUGGAGAGCUGUAAAUCUUGGUCACUGAUGUUUCUCUGAAACUUCGAUGAGGCUGGUACUGAGGUACAGUCGGAAGUCCAUGUUUCUUAGCUGGUCUUUGAAGAAAGCGCGCGGUUUGUUCGAAAACUGCUGGAGAUGAGUGCAACUCAAGAGGGCCCCCGCAUCCCAAAUUUACUAUUACUGCAGACUGCAACUUUAUUCCUCAGGGAGCUCAUUCAAGAAUAACUUCGCGCAACUGUCUGUAGGGGAUACAGCGCACACAAACGACGAUGGCAGGGGGUUAAUCUCAUCCAAGCUUCUAUAGCUGAAUACAGCUGUCCCAUAAAUCAUCCUUAGGGCAUCGAAACCAGAGACCGACCCACGAGACCUAGAAGGGAGGAAUAAAUGACAAAACCUUGGGCAUUGCAAUUUGUAACUAUCAUUAGAUGUAGGGUCCAGUAGGAUUGGUCUUGGAGCUGUUGGUUUCGUGCGACCUGUGAUCUCUACACCAUCCUUGCUCGGACUACCUCGUCACUUUAUCCAUGACAAAUUGGCUUACGAAUGGUUUUCCAACACAUUGCUUGUCUAUUUCGAAGCUCCCCUUGUAUUCACUGUUGACGCUGCUUGAUCAGCCCUGCACUGGGUAUUAUCGAUGCGAUCCACCCAGAAGAAUUGUAGUUUAUCGGACUUCUCGUUGAGUUGGUUUUGGAGAGUGGAAUCGAGCCUUUCUUCACUGCUGAUACUGUCUCAAUUUCCUUGGCUGUAGAUAUGAGGAACAGAAUUGGCUUAAUUAGAAGGUGACGGCGUUGCACUCAAGGUGAUGCUGAGAAGGUUUGAGAAACAGCAGAAUAUGUUAGAUCUGAACUAGGCUAUUCUUUGGAAUGUUCAGUGGCUUCAAUGUCCUGACGACUGAUGCUCUGGGGAAAGUAUAGAUGGCGAGCCCUGGACAUGGUCCUUCAGGAUCCAUGGUUCAAGGAAGUAGAAGAUGGAUUGAAAGGGCUGAAAUCUAGCAGAGAAUUUUUAACGCGAGUCUCUAACGAUUCUUGAAUAUACUAAAAGUAGCUUUCAGGUAUGCAUAACGAAUAGUAUGGCAUUUGCAUGUCAGGGGAGUAGAAGAAACCUGAGUGAAACCAGAUACUGCUGCUUUUCGUUACCAUUUGAUUCCAUUGUACCUUUUCAUCACUACUUCAAAUCAAUUACUCCACAAUCUGAA